GCCUUUCCAUUGCUACAAACUCCCACCCAGGUUCCUGCCUCUCCCCUUAGUCACUGAGUUUGAACUUCUCGUUUGACUGAUUCAGUUUCCCCACAUUCUCAAGCUGUAAGGUCCCGAAGAAAAGGUCAUGCCUGUGGCCCACAGCUCUUGACGGGGAUCUUCACCAGAAAACCCACAGGCCACAGGCAGUGCUGCAUUUGUGCUACUAGAGAGCUGAGCAGCUGCCACAGAGGCCACGUGACCUGAGAUGCCUGACCUGUCUACAGAGGCUUGAACCCAGUCAUGGCAAAGAUGAGCAAGCAAUAUGCUUAUCGAUUGAAUCCACCCUUCCAUUCCUCCUCCUUUUGAAGACAAGGUCAGAGACUUAUCCGAUGGACGAGGGUGGUUGUCCAGAGGGUUCCUGUCCCCACCUGCCCAGCACUGGGGUCACCAGGUGUGCCACCACUCCCAGGUUUCACAGAUUCUGGGAACUGGACUUUCCUACUUCCUCUAGCUCCCCAGCCUAAGAUGAACUUCUUACAUCUCAACGGAUUAUUUGUCAAAUUGACUUUUCCUUGAGAAAAUCUAACCUUUACUUAAUAUUUUUCCUUAAUUGCUUAAUAUUAAUAUUACUGAAUUACUUAAUAUUUUUCCUUAGAGUUACUUCUGGCAAAAGAUUUUAAACCAGGAUUGGCCAGGCUGCUUCUGCUUUUCCAGGACCUCCUCUUGUAGAGCUCUAACCUGGAAACUGUGGGUGUUCUGGUCGGCCUCUGGGGUGACUUGCUUAUCUGUGUCCUCUCUGCUUUGAAGACCCUCCUGCCUCCUCACCUCCCCAGGUCCCUACGUCCAUCUCUAGGAAGCUCUGGACACCUUCAUCUCUCUUCACAUUUACAGACAGACAUACGCACCUGGCUGCACAGCAAACACACAUUUGGCUUUGUCUCCUGGGUCUCAUCAUAGGAUUAUCAGAUGAGUUUAGUGCUUUCCCCAGAGGUGACUAGGAUAUCCAGGUCCCUUGUUUUCCAGACUAUCAGGGAGAUUAAGGGAGCCUAAUCCACCAAGGAGGGGCAAAACCUAACCUAGAACUUGGAUCUUCACAUUCUUCAUCGUGAAUAAGAAACCCACAAGUGAGAGCUUCCUGGAUCCCUGUCAAGUUCUGGGCAUUGUGCCAGGCCCUGGAAAUAAAGGAGAAUGGAGUGGUUGCAGAUCUUGCCCAUGAACAGCUCAUAAAGGACUCAGGGUGAUAACAUGCUCCACAAUUCUAUAUGAUUAAAUCCUGGCAGGUGUACAGGUGCCUUGGAAGAGAGGUGCAGGGUGAGUCAGGAUUUGGCCUAGUUUGGAGUGUCACAAAAUGCGAUUAAGGAGGUAUGCUCGGGAGACACGGGGAGCAGGAGGUGUGCUCGGAAGACACAGGCAGGAAGAGGUGUUCUCAGGAGACACAGGCAGGAGGAGGUGUGCUCAGGAGACUCAGGGCAGGAGGAGGUGUGCUCAGGAGACUCAGGGCAGGAGGAGGUGUGCUCAGGAGACUCAGGGCAGGAGGAGGUGUGCUCGGGAGACACAGACAGGAGGAGGUGUGCUCGGGAGACACAGGUCAGGAGGAGGUGUGCUCGGGAGACACAGAUAGGAGGAGGUGUGCUCGGGAGACUCAGGGCAGGAGGAGGUGUGCUCGGGAGACACAGACAGGAGGAGGUGUGCUCAGGAGACUCAGGUCAGGAGGAGGUGUGCUUGGAAGACACAGGGCAGGAGGAGGUGUGCUCAGGGGACACAGGGCAGAAGGCUAGCAACAAUUCAGCUGCAUUUAUGGCUUAAGCUGGUCACUGGCUUGGCCUAUUUGCCAUCACUCUUGGGGACAGAGACCCACAGCUUGGACACUUGUGUCUUGGAAGCAGACCCCCCCCCCAUGCCCCUUUGGUUCAGCAGGAAGAGGCGGGAGCCAUCUGCAGACAUGUUUAGCUGGAGGCCCUCCAUCUCACUUGCCUCUUAGUCAUAUCCUGUGCAGCUUGGCAUCUUUUUGGCUUUGACACCAAAAUGUCCUUAGUUCCUAGAAGUAGAAAAGUCCCUGCUAUUGAUGAGACAAGCCGCGAGGCCUUAGAUAAUUUUAUUGACUUGGUAGAAGGCAGAUUCCUUUUGUCCUUGUUACCAUGACAUCACCUGACGUAUUUACACAUUUCUUAUGUUAACUCAGUGGGGCUAGAUAGCCUAUGCUUAAGAAACUCUGGUUAUAUUUUCCUUACAUUGUAGAAAAUCAGCCAGUGCAAGCCGUGGGCUGUGCAGGGGUGUGGACGUGGGACACUAUUGGGUUUCUAUUUCUGCUUCUGCCUCACGCUAGGCUGGGGAAUUACUUCAUGUUUUAGAGCCUCCAUUUUGGCAGCUGUAAAAUGGGAAUACUGAUCAUCGGCAUACUCAGAGUGCUUCCUGAGACACAGAAUGCAGAUAUCUAGAAAAAUGCUUCCACAAGACCUAACCUAACGCGCUCAACACAGUGUAUAAAGCACAAACUUAGGAUGCAAGAGAAAGUAGGUCUGGGCCAGAACGACAGUCUCCGGAGUCUUGGUUUCCCUUCACUGGGUUUUUGCACUGGGGUCUGCCUUCUGGUAGGGCAAUUACUGCAAGAGUGAGUUCCUGGGGAAAUGGAUAUGUGCUGAGAGAGGGAGCAAGGUGUGUGUGGGAGAACAGAGGCUUUCCUGUCAGGGGUACAGAGAGAGCUGGAGGGGGAGGCAGCAGUGAGCAACUCUCCUGCUUUCCCAGGAGCCCAGGGCUCCGAGUGUGGCCUUCAGGGGUCAAGGUUCUCCACUGCCAUGUCCCCCUCUCUGUGUGCCUGAAGCUGAGCCAGCACGGAAUAACAGUUUUUAAUGCACUCGAGUGCAAGGUCAAGUUUUCAUGGUCAGUUUCCGCCCUUGGUGUUUUCCUUUCACGUAAAGGCUGUUUUUACAGGGUGCUACAUUUCAGGGUCUCCUUUUUAGGUCCCAAUAAUCACUUCCAACUGCCGUGUUGAGUGUUGUUCGCUUUAUUGGUGCCGAUGCCUGAUAACCUUGGGGGACCCAUUUUCAUGGCCCCACCAGGCUCUGUUAUUUCACAAAGUCAUAACUUCAAGUUGUGCCUUACUAAAAAGAAAGUGCAGUGAAAUUUAGGAUAAGUUUCCAAGAAAGAGUGUCUUCCAGGGGGGAGAAAAUGCCACCAACGCGGUCCGUGGGGAAAGCGAUGCAGAGGAAGUUCCUCAGGCGCUUUCACAGCCGCUCAGAAAGAUGUCUUCAGCAAACUCUUCCAGAUUAGCUACGAACUCCGGACAUGAUGGACAGUUCGUGUCUGUGGGCCAGUAUUCAAUCCAGGUGGAGGAGUCCAGAGGGUAGAUGUACCUGUCAAGGCAAAAUGGAAACAGUGUCGGUGAUGGUGGCCACAGGCAGAGGAACGCUGUACUUGAUUUUCCUAGGAAGAGAUCAGAUGUGGGCAACGUGGGUUCUGGUCAUUGAUCUCGGUUCCUCAUGCUCGCAUAGCAAGCGCUUCACUGACAAAGCUGUCAUCUCCGCCCCCGAGCCCCACUCUGUGCAGGUGAUAAAGCAUGUCUUAACAUUCUCUCUACACUAGGGACUCUUUGCACACUGAGGGAGAGCUGGCGGGUGGUCAGGCGAUGUGGACCUGCGUUCUCAGUUCCUCAUCAGGUUGUGUCACGAGGAUGGUUUGGCUUUCAGCCAAGGCUGCAGGUGCUGUGAAAUUCCAGAUACUUCGUUCGUACUCAGGAUGCUUUGUGGGCUGAACUUAAGGCAUCGCUGGAGUGCCAGAGUAGUGGAGAAUGAGCCACACCCGGGUUGGAGAAGAGGCCGGGCUGCGAAUGCUGGUGACUCACUUGAAACUGAAGUUGUGCUUGAUCUGCAGAGCCUCUUUGCCCAUGACGAGGUACUGCUUCCCCUUCACCAGAGCGGCGUUGGCACAGCUCAUCUUUCUAAUGAAGGUGAUUUCAGAAUCCUUCUCAGUGGCGGCUUCCCCUGAGGGACAAGGAUGGAAGGUUAGCACAGUCACAUUUUAACGCUGCCCAGUUCCUCAUGACCAUGAAAGACAAACACUGGUGGUGAGGGGCACUGCCCUGUGGUGGAGAACGCAGUCAGGCUGUCUGCGUUAAACCCCACAGGAGCCACUUCCUGCUGUGUGGCUCUGCUUACUGAUUUAUGAGCCCUCUAGUAAGGGCUAGCAUAUGAGAAGUUCUGAGGGCUGAGUAAGAGCUGUUAAGUCUUACUACUUCUCAGAGAUACAGAGUUAUUGCUCAGUAGUUGUGCACUAUUUAUCUCCACGUGCUAUGUUCAUAAUUAGGGACGCAUUUGGUAGCAGGCAAUGGUCAACUUUCUAGAAAAGCAUGUGAUGUGACGGGCUGGCAAAUUUUGUGAAAGGUAACUUUUGGAUUCCUUAAAGGACUCAGAAUUAGCCGGGGCGUGUUGCUUCUACCCAGAAGGCAAUCUUCCCCGUGUUUAGCCUGUUGAGUUUCACGUAUGUUUAAGCCCACUUCACUUCUCAUGGUAUCAGCCAAGCCCUGUUUGGACCUUUGCUGUAAUAGUAACAGAGAUUGACUCAGGGUCUUGAACUUGUUAGGGAAGCAUUCUACCACCAAGCUAUCCCCAGUCCCUCACUCACCUCUUUUAAUCUUUACACCUUAAUCCAUCUAAUCUCUCCCUCCCCUCCCUCUUCUCCUUCCUCCCUUCUGCCCUCUGUCUCUCUCUGGUAUAUAUGUAUAUGAUUAUAAAGGCAAGAAGUUGACUUUGGAUGGUUUCCUCUAUCAUCUUCCAUCUCAGUUUUGGAGACAACUUCUCUUAACCUAGGGGUCGCCAUUUUGACUAAACUUGAAGGCCAGGAAGCCCUCAGAUCGUUUGCUCCACACAGGGCGGGGCGCAUAGAUGUGCACCCCGACAUCUGGCGAUCGACACAAGUGCUGGGAUCUGCACUCAGGCCGUCGUGUUUGAGCAGCUGCUGCUUUUACCCCUGGGUCACCUCCCAGCGCGGACAUCUGAAUCUCUACUCCAGGGUUCUGCUCCACAUGUGGCCUCAGACUUCAGACACACUGGAAUCUUGAGGCAGGGAUCGCACCUCAGUUACUGCUAUAAUAUUAAGGGCCGUUAUUCAGCUCUUGAACCGUGACACAGUCUCCCUAACAGUUAAAGCCUGCCUCUUGAACCUGUCAGUCAGGGGUCUAUAACUGCCGCAGACAUAGCUUUUUCUAGGUCCCUAGAUUCCCGUAUACACACAGGACUUCAAACUAAGUUUUUUUUUUCAGACUGUCUGGGGAUACAGCUUCCUGUUGUAGCAAUGCCUGAGCCACAUUCCCAGCACCCUCAGGCCGGCCACAGUAGAGAAAGCAGCGUGUCAACCCUGGGUCUUAAGAGUUCACAACCUUCUGUUAGUGAAACAUUUUGAGUGUUCCAAAGAGCAGGGAAUAGCUGACUUCGGCGAGCACACAGCUUCCCUUCUGUCCUGGGUUCUCCCCUGCUCCUAGCAUCCUCGAAUGGAUAGAAAUAUCAGUUUAUCAAUGUACCUUGAUUCUGUGUUAGUAGGACACUUGUGGGCUUCUGAUAGUUCUGUGAAUUCAAAAUUUCUAAUAAGCAUUAAAAUGAGCAUCCAAGAUGAGGAGAUAAAGUACGAAAAACUUGCUUAGCCUUUCAAGUUUACUGGAAUUAAUCUUCAGAACCCAUAGGACAAAGAGGAAAUGGCACUAAUGAGGGUUUUGACUCUGGGACCACCUGACAGCAAGUGAAAUCAGAGCCAUCUGGGUGUCCGUGGAUAGCAAGCGGGCACUGGUAUCAAACAAUUUGAGCCAAGGAUCUUCUGACAUUGUGACAGAAUGUACAAAGCUACACAUCAGUAAAAACAUAUUACAUUGUAGACUUCAGGUCCUACUUACUGCAGAAUUUAUAUUUACUCAAAUGAGAAAUUGGCUGCUUGGACAUAUCAACAAGGCAAUAAGCUUAAGCUACUUAAUCAAUACUUAUUUAAUUUUAGAUGUGUUCUAAGGGUCAGCAAGAUGGCUCAGCAGGAACGGUACUUGGCUCCAAGCCUGAUGACCCAAGUUCAAGGCCCAGGUGUUACACGGUGGAAGGACAGAGCCAACUCCUGCAAGUCAUCCUCUGACCUCCUCAUGUAUGCCACAGACACACACGCAUGCGUUAAUGAACGCGAUAAAAUGUGUGUUUUGAGAAACUUAAAUGGAACACAAAAGCUAAAGAUGGUUAUGUUGACAUAGCAUUUGCUGAAAUCUGUGAUAAGAUAAUUCAAUGAGAAACAGAAACUUAUUGAGGGUGAAACCCCGUGACUGUUUUCAAGUCAUUGCCCCUACGUGCGACGCAGCGCCUGCCCCCACGUCCGACGCAGCGCCUGCCCCCACGUCUGACGCAGUGUCUGGCUGGUAUGAUGCACUAAAGGCUGAGGUGGGGAGAGGAGAUCUCACCUGUUUUGUAAAUAUCCAGAAGAGUCGCAGUGUAUUUGACAAAAACGUUUUCUUCAGUGGUGGAUGUGAUCCUAACUUUAUAAGCUGGUAAAAACAAAACAGGACAAAAUGAGGCAACUCCGACUGAACACCACCAGGAGAAGCCGGGGCUUGUCAUCAGAGGAGGAACGUGGAUGGCAGGUAUCAGGGCACCCUGGGGUGAAGCUCAUUUUUUUCAUGGAUCUUCCCAAACCCCUCAGUCAAUUAUUAGAUUAGAAAAAAAAAAUGAAGAAUUCAAAGGAAGGAAAUGAAGUUCCUUCUGAUAACAGGAAUUCAUUCUGCAGAUCAUGACCAGAGUCACUCCAUUCCUGUCAUUAUGUCCCUCAUGGCCUCGGGCAAACGUUUAACCUCCUUGAGCCUCAGUUUCUUCACUGGAAAUAGUGACGGUGGUUUGAUGCUCUAGAUCAGUGGUUCUCAGCCUUCCUAAGGCUGAGACCGUCUGAUACAGUUCUCAAGUUGUGGUGACUCCUAACCAUAAAAUUAUUUUAAAAAUUAAUAAAAUUAUUUAAUUUUGCUACUGUUAUGAAUCAUAAUGUAAAUAUCUGAUAUUCAGCCCUAAGGGGGUAGUGACCCACAGGUUGAGAACUGCUGCUUUAAAGGGUCCUUAUGGAACUCAUGUUUUGGUUUGAGUGUGAGAUGUCCUCUGUAACAUCAUGUGUUUGGGGCUGGAGAGAUGGCUCAGAGGUUAAGAGCACUGGUUGCUCUUCCAGAGGUCCUGAGUUCAGUUCCUAGCA